GGCUCCGUGGCUCAGUGGUUAGAGCACUGGUCUUGUAAAUACCAGGUCGUGAGUUCGAGUCUCACUGGGGCCU